GUCAGGAUGGCCGAGUGGUCUAAGGCGCCAGACUCAAGAUGUGACGUCUUCCUGAAUACGGGGUGUUCUGGUCUCCGAAUGGAGGCGUGGGUUCAAAUCCCACUUCUGACA
rfam:Xenopus laevis strain J chromosome 4S, whole genome shotgun sequence.